GCCAUGGGCAGCGGCAGCAGCCGGAGCGGCCGGAUCCCGAGGCGGUGGCGCAGCCCUGACAGGCGCCAGACGGACCCGGGAGAGACAGCCUCGGAGAGCGGCACGGCUGACCAGGCCCCGACAGCAACGGCGCAGGAGGAGAGCGGCCACGACCCCCGCCCCGCGACGCCCUCCGGCGGCCGGGAGGAGACCCUGCGCCUGCUGGAUCAGUUGCUGGCCGAGUCGGAGGCCUGGGGGCCCCAGGAGCAGACCCCACGAGGCCCCGCCCGGCUCGCACCCGCGGUAUCCCCAGAGAAGAAGAUUAAGGGCAACCCUGAGGACAGCUGUGCCUCUGCAGCCCCAGGCAGCAGCCCCAAGAGACCUGAGGGGCAGUCGGCCAUCUCCUAUGACUACUCCGAAGAGGAGCUCAUGGCGAGCAUUGAGCGGGAGUACUGCCGCUGAGCCGGACGAGCAGCCCUGGGCGCCACUGACCAGGCCUUGGCAGGUCUGUGAGCUGGGCUAGAGUCAAGGGCACCAGCUUGCCCUACCCAUGACCUAGUCAGAGGGGAACCACUUCUAAAUGCAGCCAUCUUUCCAAACUGAUCUUUUAAGAGUCACAGUCGGAGUCCUGCCAGUGGCCUGGCAGACCAAGAGUAGGUGCCAGGCCACAGGUGGGGAAGGGUCAACCCCUCUUGGCAUCCGUAUCACAGGCUUCUAGAAGUUUCCACCAAGGUAUGUUCUCAGUCUUCACACUAAGGUUUCUCCAGAGCGACGCAGUUUCCUCCGUGUAUGUCAGUUUCCAAGUAUACAGAUGGCAGGUAGACGCUGAGUGUGUAGGUCUAGGUGGGUCCAGAGAUUGUAUUUCUGACAGCUUCGAGGUAAUGGGAAGUUGCAAGGAGUCAGGGUCUGAGUCCCUUGGCUUCUCCCUUUCAUGUGCUGGCGGCUCCUCCAAGCCACAGUGUAGCAGCCUCCCCUGCUUGGAUGUAGGAGGAAGAGAGGGCUGGGAACCGCAGACUUCUCUGGCAUCCCAGUAUUACGUCAGCUUGCUAUCACUUCCCUCUCUGGGCCUCUCAGUUUCUCUCUUGGGGAGAAUCCUGGAGGUUCUUUGAGGUCUUUCAAGCCCUAUCAGUUUGGCAGCUCUGUCUUCCAGCCCUGCCAUCUUCCGGGGCCCAUUGUGCUUUAUCCAUCCCCGAGCGUAGAGCUGCAUUGGAGCUGAGAGAGAGGGUACACGCGGAAGGUCUUCAUGGCAACUGCGCUCCAGUUUUCCCUUCUGGCUGGCAGUCUGGCUAACGCCAUGAGCCUCCUCUCCUUCUUCCUGCUUGGGUGGAAGGUAAUCACAAUAAUGGCACCAAAAGGGACCUCAAACGUUCCCAGUCGGCAGACGGGAAAACAGAGAUCGUCUGUGGGGAGGAAGGGCGGGCCUGUGUGGUUCUGUAGGGCUUUGCUUGGUCUUGCUUGGGUGUGGAAGCACCUGACUAACUGGUAGGAAGGGUUUGUAGAUCUCUGAGUGGAGGGACAAGCCCACAUCUCUGCGCUCAUCAGGCUAGAGACCUUAAGGCUGCAUAGUGAAUUCAAAUCCAGCCUGGACUAUGCCCUGAGGGUUUGUGUCAGAAAAGGGGGUAGAGAAUCGGGAACCAACGGCAACUUUUGCUAAGGUCAAAACAGGUCUCAGCUUAUGUUGCAUCCCCGGACCAAGACAGUGGCCUUCAUCAGCAUCUUCCCUCUCCUGAGAACAGCUGUCAGCCCCUGAGACCUCAGAACACAACCUAGAGUAUCUCAGGAGCCACGGAAGAAUGGUCACUGAAACCAUCUCCGCACCCUCGGGCCUUUGCUGUCACCUGCAAAUGAUUCUAUGAACUCGUGACUUGACAAGAGUACCUUUGAGUACUCGGCUGGGAGACUUGUUCUACAGUCGGAGCCCAGAGCCAUGGAGUGUCUACCAGUCGGCUGAGGGUCUGGUCAAAACCUCCCAGAGCUAGCAACUGUAUCUUACUGGAGCCCAAAGGACUGCU